CACCCCACUCCCCACGAGCCCACCUCCCCCGAUCCCAUCUGGCCACUGCCUCCCUCCUGCCCCACGCCAGCAACCGCGCCGCCGCCGGGCCCCGGCCACCAACAGCCCCGCCGCCCAGCCCAACUCCGGCGAAACCCAUGUCCCCGGUGUGCAUCCGAGGCCCCGCGCCACCUUCAGGACACUCUCCAUGGUGGAGAUCCCCUGCCCCACCGCUUGUUCCUCCACGCACCCUGCUUCCUUCCGGGAUCCGUCGCCACCACGCGGCGGCGAACUCCCCCGGCAGGGAUCCACUGGGGACGGCGGCGUCCCGAUCCCCUGCCGCGGCCAACGACCUCCUGCUCCGCCCUUGCUGUGAUGGCCGCCGCCGGCCUUCCUCCGCGCUGGAGCUGCCCGUCCCCUACCUCCGGACGCUGCCUUGGUCUCCCCCACCUUCGGCAGUAGCUACAACGUCGGACAUCUCCUGCAGUGGAUCAGGUCAUUGACCACCGCCCGAUGCGGCGUCGGACUAGCGGAUCCACGCUGCUCCUCCACCUCCCGACCAAUGCCCCCGGCCCGUCCUGCUGCUCACCUCCUCCUCACAUAUGCAUCAACAAAACAUGGCAGCCGCUGCAGUCCACAUCGUUCAACAGUAGCAGGUCAACUCCUCCAAGGUCACACAAGCUCGCCGCCAAAAGCCCACGGUCUAUUGAGCCAGAGAUGGCACUGGACGCUGCCGUGGCCGGUCAUCUGGAUCGGAGCCACCAACCCACGUCCGCAUAGAGGGGGCUGGUAGCAGCCCCGUUGAUGGGGAUUGGGCACUAUCUGCAGCUACAAGUGGCAUCGACCUGCAGCUGCAGGGAGCGUCGACUUGCAGCUGGAGGAGGUGUCGACCUAAAGCUCGCCACCCACGGCACUAUGACCUACUGCCACAACGGUCCACCACCUACAGCCGGCGCCGCAGCGCCUCGGCCGUUCAACUAUGCCACCUCAGGCCGUUCAACUAUGUCCCCCGCAAUCGUCGACUCCAUUUGCUUCUUUCCGCUGUACGUGGCCAGCUCCAUGAGCUACUCGCCUCUACUCUGUUUAGAAGAGCGUCGUGAGCUCGUCCAACUAUGGCUGCUUCUCUGCUGGUAUGUAUGCUUCUCUGAAGGUACUAUCUUAAGCUUGUACAGCUUAUCAGUAUAUGAAUGAAAAGUUAUUAAUCUGAAGUUCAGAGAUUAUAAAGAAAAGAAGACAUGGGAUCUAGGAUCUAGUGAUUUCUAGGUAACUUGCACAGGAAAUAAAGGGCUGGUUAUUUGUGGAACUUGAGCUACACAGAAUUGAGGUAUACUGCGUUGUUUCUUGGAUGGGUGUGUACGUUUACUGGAAAUUGAACCCGCGUUACAAAAAGUAGGUACCAGAAAUGAGGAAAAUGAUUUUGUUAGAGAAACUAUGCAAAGCAAACUUUCAUUCAUUUUCCUAAAAUGACAUGCCUUAAUUUAUCCAAUCUUUUUGUUUUGCAAUUGCAGUGUCAUGCCGUUAAAUAAUGCCAUGCAAUCAUCAGGUGAAAACCUGCAGGUGACAACUCCAGUUGUGGCCAUUUCUGCUCGGGCAGAUCCCACUCCUGUUGAGAAUAGCAGCACACAAAAGGCUCAAGUUGUCGAUUAGGUAGUAGAUGGCAAUCAGUGAACAGUUUGGUUUCUUCUCUUCUACAAAGAGUUUUUUUCCUCCAUCAAUACCGGUGGCCGCUCUAACUUUGUGAAGCUAGAGAAACAAGAAGACACAUGGGAAAAGGGUUAUGAGCUGAAGGCGCAUUAACUAGGCUUGCCCAUGGCGGUGUCUGAUACAGUAGUCUGUUAAUUUUCUGAUCGAGUUGAGCAGAGCAAUUUAAGACCAAUUAAUACCAUGCUGUAAAUUUGUUGCACAAACAAACUGAUGAACCAACAACGAAAUUAUAACUUGGGCAUAUGAAACAACCAAA